AAAAACAUGGCUCUUUGCUCACAUAAAUAUAAAGAGUCGAGCCUGCCCAGUGAAUUUUUAACGGCCGCGGUACUCUGACCGUGCAAAGGUAGCAUAAUCAUUUGCCUUAUAAUUGAAGGCUAGUAUGAAUGGUUUGACGAGAGCAAUACUGUCUCCUUUUUAUUUUCAAGAACUUAACUUUUAGGUGAAGAGGCCUAAAUUCUAUUGAAGGACAAGAAGACCCUGUCGAGCUUAAAAGACAUUAUAGGAGUCUAGUAUAUUUUUAGAUAAAUUUUCUAUCAAGCUUUUUAGUUGGGGCGACUAAGGAACAAAAAAAGCUUCUUUUCAAUAAUAAACAAUCAUGUUUAGAUCCGAUAAUAGCGAUCAAAGAAAUUAGUUACCGCAGGGAUAACAGCAUAAUCUCUCUUAAGAGACCUAAUCGAAAGAGGGGGUUGUGACCUCGAUGUUGGACUAGAAUAUCCUAAAGAUGCAGAAGUCUUUGAGGGUCGGUCUGUUCGACCGUUAAAAUUCUACGUGAUCUGA
rnacentral:rRNA from 1 species